rnacentral:rRNA from 1 species
UGGGGAAUUUUGGACAAUGGGGGCAACCCUGAUCCAGCAAUGCCGCGUGAGUGAAGAAGGCCUUCGGGUUGUAAAGCUCUUUUGUCAGGGAAGAAACGGUAGUAGCGAAUAACUACUACUAAUGACGGUACCUGAAGAAUAAGCACCGGCUAACUACGUGCCAGCAGCCGCGGUAAUACGUAGGGUGCAAGCGUUAAUCGGAAUUACUGGGCGUAAAGCGUGCGCAGGCGGUUGUGUAAGUCAGAUGUGAAAUCCCCGGGCUCAACCUGGGAAUUGCAUUUGAGACUGCACGGCUAGAGUGUGUCAGAGGGGGGUAGAAUUCCACGUGUAGCAGUGAAAUGCGUAGAUAUGUGGAGGAAUACCGAUGGCGAAGGCAGCCCCCUGGGAUAACACUGACGCUCAUGCACGAAAGCGUGGGGAGCAAACAGGAUUAGAUACCCUCGUAGUCCCUGAGCGGGCUGGCAAGGCGCAU